rnacentral:rRNA from 1 species
CAAUAGCGUAUAUUAAAGUUGUUGCGGUUAAAAAGCUCGUAGUUGGAUUUCUGCUGAGAACGACCGGUCCGCCCUUUGGGUGUGUAUCUGGCUCUUUCUUGGCAUCUUCUUGGUGAACGUUGCUGCACUUGACUGUGUGGAGCGCUACCCAGGACUUUUACUUUGAGGAAAUUAGAGUGUUUCAAGCAGGCAUACGCCUUGAAUACAUUAGCAUGGAAUAAUAAGAUAGGACCUCGGUUCUAUUUUGUUGGUUUCUAGAGCUGAGGUAAUGAUUAAUAGGGAUAGUUGGGGGCAUUCGUAUUUAACUGUCAGAGGUGAAAUUCUUGGAUUUGUUAAAGACGGACUGCUGCGAAAGCAUUUGCCAAGGAUGUUUUCAUUGA